rnacentral:rRNA from 1 species
GUUGCCAUCAGGUUAAGCUGGGGACUCUAAAGGAACUGCCUACGCAAGUAGUGAGGAAGCGGGGAUGACGUCAAAUCAGCACGGCCCUUACGUCCAGGGCUACACACGUGCUACAAUGGCCGAUACAGAGGGCAGCUACCUGGUGACAGGAUGCAAAUCUCCAAAGUCGGUCUCAGUUCGGAUCGGAGUCUGCAACCCGACUCCGUGAAGUUGGAUUCGCUAGUAAUCGCGCAUCAGCCAUGGCGCGGUGAAUACGUUCCCGGGCCUU